GUGGCGGACGGGUGAGUAACGCGUAGGUAUCUAUCCAAGGGUGGGGGAUAACGGCGGGAAACUGCUGCUAAUACCGCAUGACGACUGAGGUCCAAAGGCCGCAAGGUCGCCUAUGGAGGAGCCUGCGUUCGAUUAGCUUGUUGGUGGGGUAACGGCCUACCAAGGCGACGAUCGAUAGCUGGUCUGAGAGGAUGAUCAGCCACACUGGGACUGAGACACGGCCCAGACUCCUACGGGAGGCAGCAGUGGGGAAUAUUGGACAAUGGGGGCAACCCUGAUCCAGCAAUGCCGCGUGGAUGAAGAAGGUCUUCGGAUUGUAAAGUCCUUUCGACGGGGACGAUGAUGACGGUACCCGUAGAAGAAGCCCCGGCUAACUUCGUGCCAGCAGCCGCGGUAAUACGAAGGGGGCUAGCGUUGCUCGGAAUGACUGGGCGUAAAGGGCGCGUAGGCAGUUUGAUUAGUUAGGCGUGAAAUUCCCGGGCUCAACCUGGGAACUGCGUUUAAUACAGUCAGACUUGAGUUCGGAAGAGGGUCGUGGAAUUCCCAGUGUAGAGGUGAAAUUCGUAGAUAUUGGGAAGAACACCGGUGGCGAAGGCGGCGACCUGGUCCGAUACUGACGCUGAGGCGCGAAAGC
rnacentral:rRNA from 1 species